rnacentral:tRNA from 1 species
UCCCUGGUAGCUCAGAUGGUAAAGAAUCUGACUGCAAUGCAGAAGACCUGGGUUCGAUUCCUGGGUUGGGAA